rnacentral:RNase_MRP_RNA from 2 species
CCCUCGUCCAACAGAUCGCCAUUCGAAGCUCACAAACAGAGACACUCUCUGAGCGUCUCAACCCUCUUGCUUUGGGAGAAAGUCCCCGGACACGUCUUCUCCUCACGGAAGGACAUUGCGGAAACGCGCCGCCACAGAAGCACUGCGGCUGACCUCCCGGCCCUGUCCUCAGUC